UUAGCGGCGAACGGGUGAGUAACGCGUGGAGAAUCUGCCUGGUAGCGGGGGACAACAGUUAGAAAUGACUGCUAAUACCGCAUAAAAGUGAGAAACCCAUGUUUUUCAUUUGAAAGGUGCAACUGCAUCACUACCAGAUGACUCCGCGUUGUAUUAGCUAGUUGGUAAGGUAACGGCUUACCAAGGCGACGAUACAUAGCCGACCUGAGAGGGUGAUCGGCCACAUUGGGACUGAGACACGGCCCAAACUCCUACGGGAGGCAGCAGUAGGGAAUCUUCGGCAAUGGGGGCAACCCUGACCGAGCAACGCCGCGUGAGUGAAGAAGGUUUUCGGAUCGUAAAACUCUGUUGUAAGUAAAGAACGGAUGAGAGAGUGGAAAGUUCUCAUCGUGACGGUAACUUACCAGAAAGGGACGGCUAACUACGUGCCAGCAGCCGCGGUAAUACGUAGGUGGCAAGCGUUGUCCGGAAUUACUGGGUGUAAAGGGAGCGUAGGCGGGCAAUUAAGUUGGAUGUGAAAUCCACAGGCUUAACCUGUGGCGUGCAUCCAAAACUGAAUGUCUUGAGUGAUGUAGAGGCAGGCGGAAUUCCUAGUGUAGCGGUGAAAUGCGUAGAUAUUAGGAGGAACACCAGUGGCGAAGGCGGCCUGCUGGGCAUUAACUGACGCUGAGGCUCGAAAGCGUGGGGAGCAAACAGGAUUAGAUACCCUGGUAGUCCACGCGGUAAACGAUGAUUACUAGGUGUGGGGGGACUGACCCUCUCCGUGCCGGAGUUAACACAAUAAGUAAUCCACCUGGGGAGUACGGCCGCAA
rnacentral:rRNA from 1 species